rnacentral:misc_RNA from 1 species
AAAUGCGAUAAGUAAUGUGAAUUGCAGAAUUCAGUGAAUCAUCGAAUCUUUGAACGCACCCUGCGCUCCUUGGUAUUCCUUGGAGCAUGCCUGUUUGAGUAUCAUGAAAUCUUCAAAGUAAAUCUUUUGUUAACUCAAUUGGUUUCUACUUUGGUAUUGGAGGUCUUUGCAGCUUCACACCUGCUCCUCUUUGUUCAUUAGCUGGAUCUCAGUGUUAUGCUUGGUUCCACUCGGCGUGAUAAGUUAUCUAUCGCUGAGGACACUGUAAAAGGUGGCCAAGGUAAAUGCAGAUGAACCGCUUCUAAUAGUCCAUUGACUUGGACAAUACUUUUAUGAUCUGAUCUCAAAUCAGGUAGGACUACCCGCUGAACUUAAGC